rnacentral:rRNA from 1 species
AACCCUAGACAGGGGAUCACUUGGCUCAUGUGUGUCAGCAUGCAGACCUCAGCAACUCUGCGCGUC